rnacentral:piRNA from 1 species
UGUCAAACUUUUUAAAUGGUUGAGCUU